CAUUGCAAUCCUGAAUUCUGUCAAGAAAGCCGUGGAGUCAAAGAGCAGGCAUCGGAGUCGGAGCUUAGGAGUGCUGCCUUUCACUUUAAAUUCUGGAAGCCCAGAAAAAACGUGCAGUCAGGUGUCUUCAUACAGUUUGGAGCAAGAGUCGAAUGGCGAGAUUGAGCACGUGACCAAGCGGGCCAUCAGCACCCCCGAGAGUGAGUAACUGAUCGGAACACGUGGGCUUCUCCUCAGUCUCUCGUGCAUUCGUGAUGUGUUUGCUACAGUCGUAGUAAAACUCCUUCCGGUGCAGGAUAGUUCUGAUGGUCAGAACCAUGAGUGCAUUGCUGAGGUGGAGUAU
rnacentral:sRNA from 1 species